rnacentral:rRNA from 1 species
AUACGUAGGGGGCGAGCGUUGUCCGGAAUGAUUGGGCGUAAAGGGCGCGUAGGCGGCCCGGUAAGUCUGGAGUGAAAGUCCUGUUUUUAAGAUGGGAAUUGCUUUGGAUACUGUCGGGCUUGAGUGCAGGAGAGGUAAGUGGAAUUCCCAGUGGAGCGGUGAAAUGCGUAGAGAUUGGGAGGAACACCAGUGGCGAAGGCGACUUACUGGACUGUAACUGACGCUGAGGCGCGAAAGUGUGGGGAGCAAACAGGAGUAGAUACCCUGGUAGUCCACACUGUAAACGAUGAAUGCUAGGUGUAGGGGGUAUCGACCCCUUCUGUGCCGCAGUCAACACAAUAAGCAUUCCGCCUGGGGAGUACGGCCGCAAGGUUGAAACUCAAACGAAUUGACGGGG